rnacentral:lncRNA from 1 species
AGCUUCUGCACCUUUACUAAAAGUAUGUGCAUGAUUUAGGAGAAAUAUUUUGAAAUAUUAGGGUUUUUCACAGCCCUAAAUUACUCUUUUGUGGUCAUCGGCAAAUGCAGGCUACCUGGUUAUAUAUUUUGAUGGGGAAGAAGAGGGGAAAUUCAGGACCUACAUAAGAGAUUAAAGUAAAAUCUAAUACAAAAUUGAGAUUGGUAACACAGCACAGAAGUGCCAAAACUGCAUGGAUAAGUGAUUUUGAAAACCAUCAAACAGACAUUCCACAAGGUCAACCAAAAUGCAGUGUGCCGGAGAGUAAUGAGUGACUUUAGUCCAAUAGUUAUUCAAGUGCCUGAGAGAAAGUUUUUCUCUUCUGCUAGCCUCUUUCCCUUAUAGGAGAAUAUUAUGUAAUGCAUACAUUUCAUCUUACCUUUAAUUGCCUGGUUUAAUAAUAAAUACUUAACAAUUUUUUUGUAAUUUUUGCCAUACCGGAGGAGAAAUCUGUCUUGGUGUUGGAGCCUCUUGGAAUUCGUGACAAGGAAAAAAGUACACCAAGUAAACUAGUAAAACAAAAGUGAGAAGGCCCUUGACAGAUGUGAG